AACAAACGCUGGCGGCGUGCCUAACACAUGCAAGUCGCGCGAGAAAGUUCCCUUCGGGGAGCGAGUAAAGCGGCGAAAGGGUGAGUAACACGUGGGUAAUCUGCCCUCGGAACUGGGAUAACCUGCCGAAAGGUGAGCUAAUACCAGAUAAGACCACACGGACUGAUGUCCGAGCGGUAAUAGGUGGCCUCUCGAAGAAGCUAUCGUCCGGGGAUGAGCCCGCGGCCCAUUAGCUAGUUGGUAGGGUAACGGCCUACCAAGGCUAUGAUGGGUAGCCGGCCUGAGAGGGUGUACGGCCACACUGGAACUGAGACACGGUCCAGACUCCUACGGGAGGCAG
rnacentral:rRNA from 1 species